GCUCGGAUUAUAGGCGUGAGUCACCAUGCCUGACCAUUGGUCUAAAUUUUUAUUCCAGCUUCUACAGUCUCACAGUUACCUUCCUCGAGUGGACCCUCCUAACUGCCAGCCACCUAUUACCAUUGUGUCCUCAUGUCAGGGUGGAGCUAGGUGGAGAGAUAGUUUCCCAUUCUCUUUGCUCUGCUAUCCCUGCUCCUCACAUGAAAAAUCAAAAUCCCCACCUUAGUUCUAGCCUUGCUUGCUUUUCCACCUGGAAGAGUCCACACUCUUAGGUUCUGGUUUGGGUUUUAAUUUCACACCAGAUCAUCCAAACACAUACAUCUAUGCAUCAGCUGCAAACUGAAGAUCCUAAAAUGUCAAAAGAAAGAAACAGAUCUGUGGAGAGGUUGGCCAAAGGGAGGAGCUGGGGACAGGGGCUUUGUAGCAGAGGCUAGUUGUGUUAAUUUUUGUCUGCUGCCUUUGACACCAGGUGAGGGUCAGACUGCCUGGUGACCUCCUCAGGGGAAACCCCCAGGCCUGCAGAUGGCCGGUGAAUUGGCUCUGCACAACUCCCUUCCUCAUGGUUUCCUGGCAAGUCCUCCUGUUUCUUCACUCUUGGUGGUUCUCCCACUCAGCCCAUCCUUUCCAUCGUGCUUGAGCCUGCUGUCCUGCCAGCUCACCCCUGGGCUCGUUUCACAGUCUUCUGGACUGUAAUCUUUCUUUCCCCACCGCAUUCUGCUGCCAGAUCUGCCUGAAAUGCCGCUUUUGCAUGAAAAUACCAGCCUGGCAAGAUGGUCUAAUGCGUUGCUGCUGACUCUCCUCUAAGGAACCUUCCCUGUACGCCUGUGCAAGCUCCUCCAGCAUCCUCUCCCUCCUGCCUGCUGAAAGCAGCUGGAUCUAUUCCUCAGUUCUGGAGACUGGGAAGUUCAUGAUCAAGGUGCCGGCUGAUGAAGCUUCUGGUGAGUUGCCCUCUUCCUGGCUUGCAGAUGACUGCCUUCUUGCUAUGGCCUCACACAGCAGAGAGAGAAUGAGCUCUGGUCUUUCUUCCUCUUCUUAUAAGGACAUUAAUCCCAUCAUAGAGUCCCCAGCCUGAUGAUCUCAUCCAAACCUAAUCAUCCCCCCAGAGGCCCCACCUCUGAAUACCAUCACAUUAGGCAUUACGGCUUCAACAUAUACAUUUCAGGGGAACACAUUCAGUCAUAAUAGAUGCUUAUUGUAGAAAUUUUUGAAAAAUACAAAAAUAUGAAACAAAAGAAAACCACAAACUAUCCUGACAACCAAAGAAAAGCACAAAUGCCAUCCUAUCAUCCAAAGAAACUUCCAGCAUACUUUCAAAUCUUUUUAAGCACUUACUUUUAAAAAUAUAUAUCAUA